GAUGAACGCUGGCGGCGUGCCUAAUACAUGCAAGUCGAGCGAACAGACGAGGAGCUUGCUCCUUUGACGUUAGCGGCGGACGGGUGAGUAACACGUGGAUAACCUACCUAUAAGACUGGGAUAACUUCGGGAAACCGGAGCUAAUACCGGAUAACAUGUUGAACCGCAUGGUUCAACAGUGAAAGACGGUCUUGCUGUCACUUAUAGAUGGAUCCGCGCCGCAUUAGCUAGUUGGUAAGGUAACGGCUUACCAAGGCAACGAUGCGUAGCCGACCUGAGAGGGUGAUCGGCCACACGGGAACUGAGACACGGUCCAUACUCCUACGGGAGGCAGCAGUAGGGAAUCUUCCGCAAUGGUCGAAAGCCUGACGGAGCAACGCCGCGUGAGUUAAGAAGGUCUUCGGAUCGUAAAACUCUGUUAUUAGGGAAGAACAAAUGUGUAAGUAACUAUGCACGUCUUGACGGUACCUAAUCAGAAAGCCACGGCUAACUACGUG
rnacentral:rRNA from 1 species